GAAAAGAGUUAGAAAUA
rnacentral:tRNA from 1 species